rnacentral:rRNA from 1 species
UGCGUAGGUGGUUAGGUAAGACCUGUGGGAAAGACCUGGGCUUAACCCAGGAAGGUCGCAGGUGACUGCCUGGCUAGAGGGCGGGAGAGGAGCGCGGAAUUCCCGGUGUAGCGGUGAAAUGCGUAGAGAUCGGGAGGAAGGCCGGUGGCGAAGGCGGCGCUCUGGAACGUUCCUGACACUGGGGCACGAAAGCGUGGGGAGCAAACAGGAUUAGAUACCCUGGUAGUCCACGCCCUAAACGAUGGGUACUAAGUGUCGGCGGGUUACCGCCGGUGCCGCACCUAACGGAGUAAGUACCCCGCCUGGGGAGUACGGCCGCAAGGUUGAA